GCCGUCCCUAACGGUCAAAGAGAACAAGAGACCGAUCGCCGUGCGUUCGCCUUGUCGCCUCAAAGCGGCUUCCGCUUCAUGUCGUCGUGACAACGGUGAGCAGACCUAACAUUCCUCUCCGUGAGCCACGAUUCAUGUGCCAUCGCUUGGCCUUGCACAUGGAUGGUGCUCUAGAAUGCAGUGCAGCCGCGGCACUGCUUUGCUCUGGAAUGAGAUGAAGCAUGGUUCGUUCGGUGUUACGUGCUUAUGGUCAUGGGUUCGGAUCCUUGUCGAGAUGGUGCCCAAAUAUGUUACCCAGAUGGUGUUGAGUCAAAGAAAGACAUUGGAGCACGAAGGGUAGAGUGGAGCAUCUUUUGGAAAAAAUUUUGAGAUGUCAAAAGGCCAGCUUUUACGAGCAGAGUUGUUCGGAUCAACACACACAAUGAACAUCCAACUGAGAGAAGCAUGUACACCAAGAAGAGAAACUUGAGUCCGACUGUAGAUUCGGUAGUUGUAGAUGGAGGAGAAGUCCAUGCCAUCCAAUAGUUGCUUGCUACUUGCAGUACCUGGAAAAAUAUAUGUGCUAUGACUAUUAUGGGAACCAAGGCUCCUCCUCGGACUGCAGUCAGCAUAAUCAUUUAAGGAAAAAGAAGUUCAGCAGUUCCGUUUUACCAGGAUAAGGUCUGCUACUGGAAGAAAUUCGACUUGAUGGGUAACAUAAAGCACAGUUUUGUCUCUGAGGACACCCAUCAAACAAUCCUGCAGAGGAAGGACAAAUCUUUUAAACAACAUGCAAAGAGUUUUACAUACUGGAAAGAUUGUGAGAGAGCAGAGGGAGGGUAUCAUUUGUUUAAAGGAUAUUUUUAGAAGACAACCUUGAACAGUUGAGUGCCUGUAUGAGCAUCCAAAGCACUGAAAGGGUCAUCAAGAAGGUCCCCAUUAGCAAAGAGUUCAAAAUCCUUCUUCAAUGCACAAACUUCAAUUAUCUUUUCGUACUUUUCAUUGUCAAAAGGAAUACCGAAGACAAUGUUUUCUCUGACAUUUCCUGAUAGUAUCCAUGGAGAUUGUGAAACAUAUGCCUUGCUGCCACUGACUUUUACACUCCCUCCAAGCUUUGGUAUUUCUCCAAGGAUGCAUGAGAGUAAACUAGACUUUCCCGAACCAACAGUACCACAAAUAGCCACCUUCAUUCCUCUACGCACCUUCAAAUGUAUAUUUUCAAGUGUGGGGCAUCCAGAGUCUUGGUUCCAGCUAAAUGUCCCACGAUCAAUCUCAACAGCAACCUCUGCUUCAUUUCUGGGGACAAUUUCAACCACAUCGGCUCUCAUUUCGUCUUCUAGCAGCAUUCCGAAUGUUGCCAAUGCAGACAAAACUCUUCCUGCAGUUAGAGGGAUUCCUAUGAUUAUACAUGUUCCGAAAGUCACCACUGAUAUGAACAUCGGUGCUCCCCAGGAUAUAAAAGAUGAAAUUGCUUUCAGUCUUAGAGACAUCCACAGCCAAUUGUGCUCAGUGUUUCUCAGGCCUUCUAACUUGUGAAGUUAAGGGAAUAUUGCAUACCAUUAUCAUUGUUGUUGCUGCUAAUGCAGCCAAAGCUCCAACUCCAAGAUUUUUAUGAAGAACAUAUAUUGCUAGUGCAAGCUGGACAGGAAGCAUCCAAAUGAUGUUUGAAAACCACAUCAGGUCAGUAAUCCUUUGGAUAUCCACACUCAUGUAGUUGAUAAUCUCCCCACUUGUUAGGCUCUGCCGAGACUGGCUUGAUAAUACGAUGCCCUUUUUGUAUAUAUGGGAUAUUAGAACAGCUCUUAACCGCAUUACAAGCUGUAGGGCUCCAAACAUCCAUUGUCUGUGACACAUGGUCUCUACAACUUUGGCACCAAGAAAUGCUAGUGCAAGUAUGUAGCCACUCUUCAAUCCGUGCUGCCUGUCUCCUCCUAAGAGCCUAACGAAGUUGUCAAUCAGUGAAGGUCCAACAUAAGAGGCCCCUGCAGCUGCAACUGCAAAGCUUGCAUUGACUGCUGCCUUCUUCCAGAUGAACAAGAAGAUUGCUCUGUAGAUAGAUGAAGUUCUUAAGCCAUAUCUUUCUUUGACGUUAUUUAGGCAACAGUUGAAUGAGUGAGACAAGAACUCAGCACAAUCAUUUUUAUCAAUAUCUGGUACUUCAUUCUGCUCUAGAGGUUUCCUCUUUCCAGUAGCGAGAAGUGGGUUAAGCCAUGAGAAGGUCACAAGUUGUACAAGACUUGCGCUCCCGUACAAGGAGCUCCUCUUGUUCUCAGCAUGCGUCUCCUUUGAUGUUUGCACUUGCAACAAUGGUUCUUUCAAGCUAUUGGAGUCAACUGACGUGCAAGGAAAGAGACUUGUUACCUAUGUAUGUUGUUCUAGUCCUAAGAAUGACUUUGCUAGAAGAAUGGAGUGUAUGUAUAUCAAGAACAGGCACAAAUAGAUGACUACAAAAGCUGCAUAUGAAGGUUUGGGCAAUGUGUUGAAUCUAUAAGGUACUCAGUGGGACAUCAACAGGAAGGUGUCGAAUUAUCCGUGUAUCCAUUUGUAUUUUGUCAUGCAGAGGGAGUUUAGGCAUAAUGUCAUAUUCAUAUGAGCAAUCCAAUCAAAUUAUCUGUCAUGAACAUUAUUGUAUGCUUAAUGAUCAGAUUCAGUGCAUCAUUAUUGACGAAUGUUGCAUUGGUCAGAUUCAACGUUA